rnacentral:misc_RNA from 1 species
AAAACAUUACUGAUGGCUGAUCUAGAAAGGAAUCCCCUUAAGAGUCUACAUAAGAUUCUUUCUUCAGCUUCUCCAUUGGAACUGAAAAGUGAUGCUGCCGAGUUAUGCUUUGUACUUUUUGGUGAUCCAAAAGUCAGAGCAUUGCCAAUUGCUUCUGAAUUUGUGGAUCCCCUAGUAAUGCUAAUGCAAUCUGAUGCAGAACGGGCUGUGGAAUCAGCAGU